CUUCUUCAAAAUGUGUGUAAAGGAUUCUGACGAAACCGUUCUGCACGCCCUCGUUCAGUGUCCCGGUAUUACUGACUUGUGGGGUUGUGUCGAACAGCUGCUGUCA